rnacentral:lncRNA from 1 species
CCACCUCCCUUGAGGGGAUUCAUGGGUACUAUCUUCAUUUUGCAGGUGAGGAGGAGAUGGAGACUCAGAGAGGUGGCGGCCUUCUCAAGGUUUUGCAAACACGCAUGUGGCCCAGCAAGUCUCUCUGACUUUGACCCCAAGUUCUUUUUUGAAAAAAAUUAAGUUAAUUAUUUUUUAGAGACAGGGUCUCUGUCACCCAGGCUGGAGGGGAGUGCAGUGGUGUGAUCAUAGCUCACUGCAGCCUUGACCUCUGAACUCAAGUGAUCCUUCCACUUCAGCUUUCAGAACAUCUGGGACUAUGGGCAUGCGGCUCCAUGCCCGACUUUUUUUUUUUUUGUUAGCGAUGAGGCCUCACUUUGUUGCCCAGGCUGAUCUCGAACUCCUGGACUCAAACAAUCCUCCCACCUCAGCCUCUCAAAGUGCUGGGAUUAUAGGCGUGAACCACCUUGCCGGGCUUGACUCCAAGUUCUUAACUGCUCAGGCCCACACAGGCCCUUUUGCAGCUCUGCAUCUCUGGCCACGCCUUGGAGGAGGUUGAGGUGGAGGCCACAGAAGCAGCCCUGGAGAGUUCUGGAGUUUCCAUUGCUGGGGGCCAUAGAAAGAGGCUUGCCCUGUAGGCUCCCAGGAUCAGCUUGGAGUCUGUCACGUUGAUCGCUGUGGGACCCUCCCACCCCCUGCUCUCCUCCAGCCUGGCCCCUCCCACUUCCUGUCUUCCCCACAGCCGCCCCUGUGAUGGAACAUUUGAGGGUACAUCUGCCCAGGCCUCUCUGUUGCUGAACGGCCUGGAAUGGCUCCCUAUUGCCCUUGGGAGCCGGCUCAGGUGUCUCUCCCUCCAGGAAGUGGGGCUUGUGCCCUUUGGAUACCUGCACUCCCCAUCACCGCACUCCCCAUCGUGGCACUUCCCUUGUUGCAGUUUUAUGGAGUGUGCGUCUGGCUCUCCAACUAGACUUGAACCGCUUGAGUGCAUAACUCGGGACUUGACCAUUUGCGUCUCCCUACGGCCAGCUCAGCCUCCGCACACAGGGACCUGCAGAGAGUGGAUGUAGCCACUGCCCCAGCGUCCCUGGGCUCUGAAGAGAAGCCAUUGCCCUUCAAGAGCCACCCUCAUUUCCUGGGCACUGGUUGGAAAAAACGAAGAAAAAGAGACACCCAGCUCACCUCCAAGUUUGCCUGCAGGUGAAUAUCUUGUUGAAAGAGAGGGGACUCCCUGAGUCUUGCUGGGUUGAGGAAGCUGAUUGGAUUUCCGGACUCAGAGGAGGGCUGCAGAGAGGGAGGAAUGGGGGGGAUGGGCAGCUGGCUUUCUGGAUGGGUGCAGGACAAUGACAUUGAUGGGGAAGCUUGGGGUGGCUCUGCCGUUGCCCACUGCUUGGCUGGUGAACUUGCUACAUCUUGGCCAGCACUAUCCUCUUCUGGCCUGCACCCUGCCAGACACAGGCAGUACCCCAAAUACCCUGUCCCUGUGCCCCGAAGUCUCCAUGACCUUCAGAUCCCAAGGGACAAGUGGCUCCACGAGGCAGGGCCUGUCCCUCUGGCUCACACUAUGGAGUCCACAGAACCUAGCCCGGAGCCUAGUGCACAGUAGGUGCUCAAUGUAUUCUAUUUGAAUGUUGCAUGAGUGAAUAAAUGCAGGAAUGUCAGGCUGGAAAACAGGUAUUUGUACACCUGUUUUCAUAGCAGUGUUAUUCACAGUAGUCAAAGGGUGGAAGCAUCCCACGUGUCUGCUGAUGGGUGAACGAGUAAACAGAAUGUGCCCCAGCCAUACAAUGGAAUGCGAUUCAGCCUUUUUUUUUUGAGACGGAGUCUGGCUCUGUCACCCAGGCUGGAGUGCAGUGGCACGACCUCAGCUUGCUGCAACCUCUGUCUCCCGGGUUCAAGUGAUUCUCCUGCUUCAGCCUCCUGAGUAGCUGGGAUUACAGGCAUGUACCACCACACCUGGCUAAUUUUUAUAUUUUUAGCAGAGACAGGGUUUCACCAUGUUGGCCAGGGGCUGGUGUCGAACUCCUGACCUCAAGUGAUCCUCCCUCUUCGGCCUCUCAAAGUGCUGGGAUUACAGGCGUGAGCCACGGCGCCCGGCCACGAUUCACCCUUAAAAAAGGAAGGACAUUCUGACACAUGCUACGACUUGGGUGAACCUUGAGUACCUGAGUGAAAUAAGCCCAUCAAAAAAGGACAAAUAUUAGCCAGGUGCUGUGGCUAAUGCCUGUAAUCUCAGCACUUUGGGAGGCCAAGGACGGAGGAUUGCUUGAGGAUUGCUCAAUACCAGCCUGGGCCACAAAGCAAGACCACCCAUGUGAGGUGUUUAGAGUAGUCAAAUUCAUAGAGACAGUAGGAUGGGGAGUGCCAGGAGCUGGG